rnacentral:lncRNA from 1 species
AUUCUUCUCUGCGGUGAUGUUAGUCGCCCGAAACCAAUGACUGUCUUAUGGUCUUCACUGGCUUACAUUUUGAUAAAGCCAUAUAAGCAAACUUGGCAGCAUUUUCUCCUUUCGUUCUUGGACUUUGCAGCAUCCCCAUGAAAGACUUCUCCUUCAAUUUCUACACUUGAGAAGAAUGUGAGACUCGUCAAUCCUGAUUGUUUUAUAUUCAGACAAGCAAAGUUCUUCAUGUUGCGCCAGUUGUUGCAGGAAACUCUUGUAAUUGCAGGUAUUACUCUGCAACAAAAAGAAUAAAAAGGAUGAAAAAGUAAGGUCAGUUAUUAGAAGUAUAGAAGACAUAACGUGAAUGACAUUAUCGACUCCAGGGCCCACGCCAGCACCACAUUGCACUCCCUCGUGGAACACAGAAAGAAGCUUCUCAUCCUACAGGAAGUUGUUAUUGAUAUUCAAAAAGUUAGAAAGAAAAUGAUAAUACCUUAAGAUAACUAAAUACCACUGAAAAUGAUAAUCCUAGCUUAGAAAAUAAUAAUACCUAAAGAUAACUAAAUACCACUGAAAAUGAUAAUCCUAGAUGUAUAAUGUGCACACAGAAGGAAACUCAAGUUAUUUCUCAUAUUAAGAGUGCAAUAAAAUAUGAUUCUGAACAUAAAGCAGAGCGGCAAAA